GAUGAACGCUGACAGAAUGCUUAACACAUGCAAGUCGAUUCGAUUUACCUUCGGGUAUUGAGGAUGGCGGACGGGUGAGUAACGCGUAAGGAACUUGCCUCUUGGUCUGGGACAACUGUUGGAAACGACAGCUAAUACCGGAUAUUAUGAGAUUCUCGCAUGGGAAACUUAUGAAAGCUAUAUGCGCCAAGAGAGAGCCUUGCGUUCCAUUAGCUAGUUGGUGGGGUAACGGCCCACCAAGGCGACGAUGGAUAGCCGGCCUGAGAGGGUGAACGGCCACAAGGGGACUGAGACACGGCCCUUACUCCUACGGGAGGCAGCAGUGGGGAAUAUUGGACAAUGGGCCACAAGCCUGAUCCAGCAAUUCUGUGUGCACGAUGAAGGUCCUCGGAUUGUAAAGUGCUUUCAGUUGGGAAGAAGAAAGUGACGGUACCAACAGAAGAAGCGACGGCUAAAUACGUGCCAGCAGCCGCGGUAAUACGUAUGUCGCAAGCGUUAUCCGGAUUUAUUGNGCGUAAAGCGCGUCUAGGCGGAAAAAUAAGUCUGAUGUUAAAAUGCGGGGCUCAACUCCGUAUUGCGUUGGAAACUGUUUUUCUAGAGUACUGGAGAGGUGGGCGGAACUACAAGUGUAGAGGUGAAAUUCGUAGAUAUUUGUAGGAAUGNCGAU
rnacentral:rRNA from 1 species